AUGUCUCUCACCGCGCUCGGUCUUGCGUUCCUAAUCACAGAUCUUGAGCUGGAUACCUGAAUAUGUGCAACAUAUACAGCGUAACGAGACGAGAUCGAAUAUCGGCGGUCUUUGAGUACGGGCAAGGCUUGCGCUUUCCAUAGCCUUACCGCGUAAUUUACCAGUCGGAACAGA
rnacentral:snoRNA from 1 species